GGGGGCGAAACGGCUUCGACGGGGACAUGGAAACAAUGGUUGCAUACCGAGGUCUGCUGGCUCGUAAAACCGGCAGCGUUUAAACACAAACGCAGACGACUACAACUACGCACUAGCUGCAUAGAGGCAGCUAGCGUCCAUCCGGGUCUUCUCCUGCAGACCCGGAACCGGGCGUCGAUUAGCAGGAUAGCCGUUUCUGAACGCCUGUUUCAGGAUCGGUGAAAUUCAACAGGCUAGCGGUUCGAGUAUCCAGCUUGGAGGAGACUUGAACGGCGAAAUUCAAAAUCCAGGCUAAGUAUGUAGACGCCAUUGUGGAAUGUUGCCGGACGCGGGUUCGACUCCCGCCGCCUCCACCA
rnacentral:tmRNA from 1 species